UUUUUGAAAAAAAAAAAAAAAAAAAAAUUAGUCUUUGGCCCAACAUUUAAGGAGCGGUUGCCUGCUUAAUUUUGUUUUCUCCUUUCGGCCUAAUCUCUAUCCCUUGAACAAUGACACCACCUUUCCAGUGACCACCUAUCUCCCGUAAACAUAUCUUCAAUUUUCCAUCUCCGCCUUUCUUGUUAUAGAACUCAACCAAUUCAAUCUCCAGCCACCCAUCUACUCUCUCUUUCGGGUAUUUGCCAUAGCUUUUUCCGGCAGGCACAGAGGGUUGCGAACCCGAAACCCGGCUGUAGUUAAACAAACCAGUUAGCCUUCUUAAAGUUUGGUGUUGGCGCCUCUGUCCUCUCACUGGAACCAAAAAAACACUACGCUUAUCUUUUUCACUUCCAGCAAGCUCUACAGUGAUCUCUGCUGGAUGUCCUUCAAACCCAUAAGCACUUGUUGUCAAUUUGAACACCAAGUACGCCGCAUAUGAUGUUUCUGGGGACAACAUCUGGAUACUAAUUUCGCCAUUGAUUUCAAACCAACAAACAUCAAUAAGCUCAGCCACUUCCGAAAAUCUGGAAUCUGGGUCGGGUACCCAUCUCCAAUAAUCUGGAGAAUUGGACCAGGUAAUUGUAAGGUCCCUUGCAGAAAGCAUGUAGCAUUUCCUCCCGGUCCAUUUCUCCAAUGCAAAGCUCUUUCUGCCAUCGUCGAUGAGAAUCGGAGAAUCACAGAGGCUGAGAUGACUCUUUGCAGACAUCGAGAGGACCUGAAAACGGUUGAACGUUCGCCGGCACUCUGUUUGCGAUGAAGCUUUUGGGUAAUAUAUUGAGUUUUCA
rnacentral:misc_RNA from 1 species